ACAAACAAGCAUAUGGUUUUCAUGGAAAGCUAUCUCUGCUAGGAGUAAAAUGGACAAUUUGGAAAGCAUUCAGCCAUCAAGGCCUUCACUGCAGCUGGGGUUUGCUAGAAGCACAUGGACAAGAAUGGUCCUCUAAUAGUCUCCAAAACAGUGUUGCCAAACAACAUUUGAGGCAGCAGUUUUAAUAGUCCCUUAAUGAGCUGUGACUCUGAAACGAAGGUGCUGUCCAUCAUCUGGAUAUUAGCUCACGGCUGUUUGCCUCUCUCAUUUUACCCACGGAUUUCUAUGCAACAGGAGUUGUGCUAAACAUAUCAAGUGCAUCCAAGUCAGAGUCCAGAUCUGAAGAAACAAGAGCUAUGAGAACACAGGGGAACGGACAAAAAAUCCAGGUGAAAGCUGAAAACACUCUAGGACAUCACAGGAGAACAUAGCCUUGAACCGCACUCUCCUGAGAGCUACAGGCCAUUGAUCAACCUGCAGCCCCAUCUGGAUCUCUUUUUAUUUGUUGACUAAUUAGUACCUGGACCUGGAAAUAUAGCUAUUAAUACAUUACUUUUUAGAAGUAGCUUUCCAAGUUCUGCUCUCCAAAUGCAUAAUGAAUAUAUGAAGUGAGGAAACAUCUGGUCUGGAAAAGAAAGUACCUUGGAAGUGGGCCUGGAUUUUUUUCCCCCUUGGUGUGUCAAAAAUAACCCAGAGAGGAGUUUAAAUAUAGUAUUCUGGAAUAGCUCUUUCCAAGAACUGGUGAUCUGUUUGUUCAUAACAUUAUGGUCAUAAUUUCACAAGGUUAAUUUACAGAAGAUGCAAAGACUAAUGCAAAGGGAUAUUAUUCCCAAAUGACCCAUCAAGGAUCACCCGUAGAUUGUGGGAAAGUUGUUGCUGGGCCUCCAUGCUGUGAGCAACAGAACAUGUGGGGCAGAUGGCCAAGUCAGUGAGCUUCCUUCAGAGUCAGACAGGGGUCAGAAAUCACGUUAAAUGCAUUACAUGCACAUGUGUUUGUUUUGUUCUGUGCUUUCAAGUCAUUUCUGAAUUAAGGGUGAUCCUAAGGCAGACCUAUCAUGGAGGUUUUCUUGGCAAGAUUUGUUCAGAGGGAGUUUGCCUUUGCUUUCCUCUAUCAUGGAAAACCCCAUGAUAGGGUCUUCACCUAGGAUCACCAUAAGUGUAUGCUUUUAAUAGUUAAUUGCUUAAUUUGAUGUUUUAAGGAAAGGUGGGAACUGUUGGGAUAUGGGGUUUGUAUGUACUUUUAAUCUGUAAACUGCCUCGAUUAUCAUGGACAGAGAGGCAGGAUAUAAAUAAAAGUUUUUAUUAUUAUUAUUUAACUUGGAAAUGACGUAAAGGCGCACAACAACUCAUUUUGGUAGAAAUGUUCAAGUGGUUCUGUAGGAGGGUCAGAAUAUUUUAAUUUACUUAUGCAAGGCUUACCUGACCUGGUUGUUUCACUUCACACAUGCAUAUUUUUGGUUUUGAAUUAAAACUUUGAUGAAA